UAGCGGUGAAAUGCUUAGAUAUCACGAAGAACUCCGAUUGCGAAGGCAGCCUGCUAAGCUGCAACUGACAUUGAGGCUCGAAAGUGUGGGUAUCAAACAGGAUUAGAUACCCUGGUAGUCCACACGGUAAACGAUGAAUACUCGCUGUUUGCGAUAUACUGCAAGCGGCCAAGCGAAAGCGUUAAGUAUUCCACCUGGGGAGUACGCCGGCAACGGUGAAACUCAAAGGAAUUGACGGGGGCCCGCACAAGCGGAGGAACAUGUGGUUUAAUUCGAUGAUACGCGAGGAACCUUACCCGGGCUUAAAUUGCAGAUGAAUUACGGUGAAAGCCGUAAGCCGCAAGGCAUCUGUGAAGGUGCUGCAUGGUUGUCGUCAGCUCGUGCCGUGAGGUGUCGGCUUAAGUGCCAUAACGAGCGCAACCCUUGUUGUCAGUUACUAACAGGUUUCGCUGAGGAUUCUGACAAGACUGCCAUCGUAAGAUGUGAGGAAGGUGGGGAUGACGUCAAAUCAGCACGGCCCUUACGUCCGGGGCUACACACGUGUUACAAUGGGGGGUACAGAGGGCCGCUACCACGCGAGUGGAUGCCAAUCCCAAAAACCUCUCUCAGUUCGGACUGGAGUCUGCAACCCGACUCCACGAAGCUGGAUUUGCUAGUAAUCGCGCAUCAGCCACGGCGCGGUGAAUACGUUCCCGGGCCUUGUACACACCGCCCGUCAAGCCAUGGGAGCCGGGGGUACCUGAAGUGCGUAACCGCGAGGAGCGCCCUAGGGUAAAACUGGUGACUGGGGCU
rnacentral:rRNA from 1 species